UUGAGAUAUCAGCUGAUGUACGAAGGGCUAUAUAAAUAAAUUUGAUUUGAUUUGAUUUGACAAUCGAGUACUUCUUCUCCCUCGGGAGGAGCUUCCUGCUGACAUACAUGAUUGGGUGCUCCUCACCUUCCUGCUCUUGGGACAAAACGGCCCCUACCCCUGUGUCAGACGUGUCUGUCUGGACCAGGAGGUUUUUUGAGAAGUCUGGGGUGACAAGUACCGGGUGUGAACAUGGUGCAUCCUUCAGGGCCUGGAAUGCCGUCUCUGUGUCCUCCGUCCAUCGCACCGUCUGGGCUAGUCGUGCCUUCGUUAAGUCUGUGAGGGGAGAACUAUUGUGGCAAAGUUAGGUACAAAUCGACUGUAGUAGCCUGCUAACCCCAGGAAUGACUUCACCUGCUUCUUGGUUCGGGGGACCUGCCAUUCCCUAAGGGCAGCGAUUUUUUUCUUCUUGGGGCUUCACAUUUCCCCUCCCUAUCAGAUAGUCCAGGUACUCCACCUCGGCGUAGCCCAGCUUGCACUUGUGGGGGUUUGCAGUCAGACCUGCAUCCGUUAGCGCAUCCAUCACUGCCUGUAACCUACAAAGAUGGGACUCCCAACUGUCACUGUGCACAAUUAUGUCAUCCAAAUAAGCAGCCGCAAGACGUGGUACAUGAGUCGCUGAAUGGUCGCUGGUGCCCCGUGGAGCCAGAAAGGAAGAACCCGGUAGUGGUAUAGCCCCCCCACCCCGAGGUGGAAAAGGCCGUCUUCUCCCGGGAGGCCGCUGCCAGCAGCACCUGCCAGUACCCCUUCGUCAGGUCCAAUGUGCUGAUGUAUCUCGCCCUACCCAAGCGGUCGAUCAGUUCGUCCACCCGGGGCAUUGGGUAGGUGUCAAACUUAAUGACCUCAUUCAGGCCCCGGAAGUCAUUGCAGAAGCGGACGGUUCCGUCCGGUUUCGGUACCAGCACUAUAGGGCUAGACCACUUACUGUGGGACUCCUCCAGUACCCCCAUCUCUAGCAUUAUCGUCACUUCCCGUUGGACCACCACCCUCCGGGCUUCUGGUAUCCGGUAUGGCCAUUUACGCACUUUUUCUCCCGGACGUGUGUGGAUAGAAUGUUCCACGAGAUCCGUGUGCCCCAGCACCUCUGAGAACACGACCGUAUUCUGCUGGACAAACUCUCUGAGCUCUUGUCGUUGGGUGGGGCUGAGGUCUUCCCCCAUUGCAACUUUGACAGAGGGCAGGCUCUGCUGUGGCCGGGUCUAUUUCUUCAGCAAGUUCACAUGGUAAAGCUGGAGGAGUUUUCUCCGCCCCGUUUGGUGGACCUUGUAAUUGACGUCGCCUACCAGCGCAACAAUGUCGUAUGGCCCAUGCCACGUAGCCAGGAAUUUUACUCUCCAUUGUAGGGAUCAGCACCAAGACCUUCUCACCUGGGUGGAACUCUCAUGGUUGGGCCCCCCAGUUGUAGACACGCUCCUGGGCGCGUUGCGCCUGGGCCAUGUGCUCCCUCAACAUUGGCCAAAUUGCCGUCAUCCUCUCCCUCAUUUCCUCCACAUGUUCUACUACGCUGCGAAGGGGGGGGUCGGCUGCUCUUCCCAGACCUCUUUGGCUAGGUCCAGCAGUCCGCGGGCCGACGGCCAUACAGAAGCUCAGAGGGGGAGAACCCAGUGGAUGCUUGGGGUACCUCGCGCACUGAGAACAUCAGGUGGGGCAGCAGCUGGUCCCAGUUCCUCCCGUCUCUCUUGAUGACCUUCUUCAACAUCUGCUUUAGGUUCUUAUUGAAGCAUUCAACUAGCCCAUCCGUUUGUGGAUGGUACCCACUGGUCCUCACCUGUUUUAUUCGUAAUAGAUUGCAGACAUCUUUCAUCACACGAGACAUGAAUGCGGUGCCCUGGUCCAUCAUGAUUUCCCGUGGAAUACACAUCCGGCUAAAUAAAUGGAAGAGCUCCCGCGCAAUACCUUUUGCUGCCACCGUGCAUAACGGGAUUGCCUCAGAAUACCGGGUCGGAUAAUCCACGAUUACCAGGAUGUAUUGGUGUCCCCUCGCGGUCUUCACCAAUGGACCCACCAGAUCCAUUGCCACCCGCUCAAAUGGCACUCCUAUAAUGGGCAAGGGAACCAAAGGGUUCCUUUCCUGUGGCUCAGUUGGUAGAGCAUGGUGUUUGCAACGCCAGGGUUGUGGGUUCGAUUCCCACGGGGGGCCAGUACAAAAAAAAAAAAAUGCAUGUAAUUAAAUGAAAUGUAUGCAAUCACUACUGUAAGUCGCUCUGGAUAAGAGCAUCUGCUAAAUGACUAAAAUGUAAAUGUAUAAUGUACCCUUGGAGCUGUGAUCUGGCACUCCAGGCAACUACAGCAGUAGUCCUCCAUGGUGCGCUUGAACCGGUUCCCGAUCCGCUCCCUGGUUUUCUCCAUCCCAAGGUGUGCCCCAAGCAGCAUGCCAUCCACCACAAUCACCUGGCCCCUAGCCUUCUGGAGAUUGGGGUCUUCUAACUGGGCCGUCCUGAACUGACCCGUGAGGAUUACCGUGUCGGGAGGUCCAUCUGGGGCCUCCACCUCCAUAAAGGGGAGCCUGAGGUCUUCCUCGCACAGUGGCUCGCUUGCCGGAGUGGGGUCGUCUCCCUCCUCCAGGUCCGACUCGGGCCCAGUGGACACCUCUCGAGGCGGGGAGUGGGUUGUGCAGGCCACUGUCCUUUUUCCUUUUCUUCCUACCUCACGUGCGCACCACCCCAGGUCCCUCCUCCACAGUGCCUGGAAGAGAGUGCAAUCUCGACCGAGGAAAAUGGACAUAGGCAGGUUAGGAACAGCCCCCACGUGCAUCUGGCACCCCCUUGGGGUGGUUAUCCUCACCGGCACAGUUGGGUACCUCUUCGUGUCCCUGUGUACACAGGACACUCACCUCCUCGUCCUCUCUUUGUGUUGUUCGUCCCCCUCACCCCAUCCCCUCUCUCCGCUCGGGCCCCUCUCAGCAGGUCCAGGGUGUUCUGGUGAGUUUCCACAGCGGUCAGCAAUUCCUGCAGGCUCUGGGGGUUCUGCAUGCACAAUGUCUUCUUCAUCUCGUAUGGCAGGGCCGAAGGUAUCGAUCCAGGACGAGCUUGUCGAUCAUCGGGAGGGACGGUACUUCUGUCAGUAGCCAGCCCUUGGUCAGGCGCACCAGGUCACUCAUCUGAGCACGGGGGAAAAGGGUGGGGUCAAAGGCCCCGUCGUGGACCAGUUGUGCACGGUGUGCGAGGCUGAAUCUAUAACGGCUCAGGAUCUCACGUUUGAGUCCUUCAUAAUUCGCGGCCUGGUCAGCCUAAUUUUAUGAACUAGGCCUUUAUUACACUGGUCCAAGUAAAACUACUUUAAACUGCUACUUAAGUAGUUUUUUCGGGUAUCUGUUCUUUACUAUUUAUAUUUCUGACUACUUUUACUCCACUACAUUCCUAAAGAAAAUAUGUACUUUUUACUCCCAUACAUUUUCCUUGACACCAAAAAGUACUUGUUAUAUUUAAUGCUCAGGCAGGACAGAAUUAUUGUCCAAUUCACGCACCUAUCAAUAUAACUGUAAUGGAAAUUCUAUGAUUAAAGGUUUGACUAAAUGAUUUCACUCAGAAACCCUAUAACCUGUUGAAAUGUAUUCGAAAUAAGGCUAUAAUAAUGGGUUAGAAACUAUAUUCUAAUACUGUGUGUAAGUAAGACACUGUUACCACUUCAAAAUGAGCAGGGCAGAGUUGAUAAGAUGACCUUGGGAAAGGAACAGGAGAAGAGGUCUCCCUAAGUUAGGGAGAGAAACAACGGCCUGGGAACAGCUAGGCUGGCAAAAGAUAAGGAGACAGGUGGUCUGGGUACUGUGGAAAAAUACAGCCGCCUAAAGCUGGGUGGAGUUCUCUACUGAUGUAAGUUAGUGUGUGUGUGUGUGUGUGUGUGUGUG
rnacentral:lncRNA from 1 species